UACGGAGGGGGCAAGCGUUAUUCGGAUUUACUGGGCGUAAAGGGUGCGUAGGCGGCUUGGCAAGUCUGGUGUGAAAUCUUUACCGCUCAACGGAAAGAGGCCACUGGAAACUGCUAGGCUUGAGCAUGGUAGAGGUUACUGGAAUUCCCGGUGUAGCGGUGGAAUGUGUAGAUAUCGGGAAGAACAUCAGUGGCGAAGGCGAGUAACUGGGCCAUUGCUGACGCUGAGGCACGAAAGCGUGGGUAGCAAACAGG
rnacentral:misc_RNA from 1 species